GGCAAAUAAUAUCCUCAAAAGCUUUGCUGCUGCUGCUGGGAAUCGAAACCAACAUCUCGAGGUACAAGUACAAAUCGAACCAGAAAAUCGAUUUUCAAAGGAAGACGAAGAAGAAACCUCUAUAGGAGCAGCAGCAGCGAAUUUUUUGUUCAGGGUUCAGGGUUCAGCGAAUUGUUUGUUCUGUCAAAUUGCACGUUCAUUGACUUCCAACACUCUCCUACACACAGAUGAUAAGGUCGUUGCAUUUGAAGAUAUCAAUCCAUCUGCCUUUAG